rnacentral:miRNA from 1 species
GCAGACACAUUCCAGCCAAUCAGCAGCAGACCCUCCCUCCCAGACCCUCCCACCUCCUGGACAGCAUCCAUUGUGAAGCUGCAUUUUUAGUGAGCUGUCCAGGAGGUGGGAGGGUCUGGGAGGGAGGGUCUGCUGCUGAUUGACUGGAAUGUGUCUG